rnacentral:rRNA from 1 species
AUUGAACGCUGGCGGUAUGCUUAACACACGCAAGUCGAACGGCAGCAUGGUCUAGCUUGCUAGACUGAUGGCGAGUGGCGGACGGGUGAGUAACGCGUAGGAAUAUGCCUUGAAGAGUGGGACAACUUGGGGAAACUCAAGCUAAUACCGCAUGUACUCGAGAGAGUAAAGCUGGGGACCUUUAGGCCUGGCGCUUUAAGAUUAGCCUGCGUCCGAUUAGCUAGUUGGUAGGGUAAAGGCCUACCAAGGCGACGAUCGGUAGCUGGUCUGGGAGGAUGAUCAGCCACACUGGAACUGAGAGACGGUCCCGACUCCUACGGGAGGCAGCAGUGGGGAAUAUUGGACAAUGGGGGGAACCCUGAUCCAGCAAUGCCGCGUGUGUGAAGAAGGCCUGAGGGUUGUAAAGCACUUUCAGUGGGGAGGAGGUUUGGAAGGAUAAGAGCUAUUCAAAUGGACGUUACCCACAGAAGAAGCACCGGCUAACUCCGUGCCAGCCGCCGCCGUAA